UAUUCUUAUAUCUUUACAAUCUCUUCCUCUGGACAAACAACAUGGCCCAUCUACAUAUACCUAAACCAGAAAUGUUGAAUGGAUGAUAACGAAAAGGCCUAUUGUGUAUUUGGAGUACUGCAGCAUCUUGCUCCAAAUACUCUUGCUUUUACAUCAAGGCAGACAACAAAAACAACACUAAGGCAUUGAUCAUGGAGUUUGAGGGUGAGGUGGUAACUCCUCAUUGCUUUAGUCUAAAAGAUUCCUGGAUAUUCAAGGAAAGUAAUUUAUUUGGCCAAGAUAUUGAGCACCAUGCCUGGGGCAGAGACCUUUAACAAAAAUCCUAAGGCCUCAGGCCCUUUGUUGAUUCAACAAAAGCUUUUAGCAAGCACUGCCCAGGGACUAACAUAGGGAGACACACUCACACAGUCGAGACAGGCAGUGGUCCCUAAACAGCAGGGCUUCGGGAGGACAGGGCCUGGUACAGGGAAGGAGUGAAGACUGUGUGGAUUCCCUGACGCUGGUAUAUUUCCCAGACAGAACAUGUUCCAGAGUAUUGGAAAGGCUGUGUUUUCGUCAACCAUGACCUUUUGGACUUGCCUUGGGAAUCAGUUCUGUUAAGGGUUCCACUUAAUGUGGAAAGAGCAAGAGCAUGUGUCACAGGACAUUUUCAUACUCAAAACUGUGACAGACUAAGCCUUAAUCUGCAGAUGAUCCUACAAACCCCAUCUAAGCUAAUGACUGGACCGACCCUCUUUCCUUUCCUUCCAGAGGACACCUAACUAGGCAGUCCUGCAGGGACAGUUCUUAGCCCUCUUUCUUCCACUAGCAUACUCUGCAAAAGAUCAAAAAAGCAGCCACAUGGCCGCAAGCAAACAAAAUGAAGAAAUUAGAGACCUGAGGAACCACCAAGAUGGAUAAUCAGCCCCCAAACUGGCCACACUCUGAAAUUAGCGGAGUGUUUUACUUGAAGCAAUGGGUAGAGAUCUACACUGUUAAAUAUGGUAGCCACUAGCCAUGUUGGGCUACUGAAGACUUGAAAUACAGUUAGUCUGAAUUGAGACGUACUAUACACUAGAUUUUAAAGACUUAAUAAGAAAUAAAAAUAAUGUAAAAUAUCUCAACUUUCAUAUUAAUUUCAUGUUGAAAUGAUAGUAUUUUUUUAUAUACUGGGUUAAAUAAAAUAUAUUAAAGUCAAUAUCACUUGCUUCUUUUUACUGUUUAAAGAAUGGUUACUAGACACUUUUAAACUGCAGAUAUGGCUCACAUUUAUAGCAGACAAUGCAUCCCGGUAGAUGCUCACAGUCUAACUUGUGUUAGUAAGAAUUAUGACACAAGAUAGAAUCUGUCUAUACUUUUCUCUUAGAAUUUGGGGAUUGUGGAUAUAGAACUAUUUUAAUCCUCAGGUUCCCAUUUUGUUUAGGGAGUCAUUAAAAGUUGUAAGACAACUGCUUUCCAAAUAAUCAGGCUGUUUUCUCUGCCAAACAACGCUAGACUCUGGGGUUUCUUGUUUGCCCAGUUUAGGUGCUUUGUUCCUGUACAUUCUAGAGCCUUUCCCCAUGAAGUGUAAAUGAAUCCCACCCAAAAUGUUGAAAAAGAGAUCUGGAACUGAGAAAUGUCUUGAGGUUUAUUCUCUGGAGAAUGAGCUGGGAAGAAAAGAGGAUUAUGUAAAAGGGAGUCACAAAGCGGCUUUGAGUCAUGAGACUCUGUAAGGGCAGCCCAGGGG